rnacentral:rRNA from 1 species
AGUCACUGACAUUAGAUACCCGGGUAGUCCCAGCCGUAAACUAUGCGCGUUAGGUGUACUGGUGACCACGAGUCACCGGGUGCCGAAGGGAAAUCGUGAAACGCACCACCUGGGAAGUACGGUCGCAAGGCUGAAACUUAAAGGAAUUGGCGGGGAGCACCACAACAGGUGGAGCCUGCGGUUUAAUUGGAUUCAACGCCGGACAUCUCACCGGAUAAGACAGCUGAAUGAUUGUCAAUCUGAAGGUUUUACAUGACUAGCUG